rnacentral:rRNA from 1 species
UACGGGGGGGGGCAAGCGUUGUUCGGAAUUACUGGGCGUAAAGGGCUCGUAGGCGGCCAACUAAGUCCGACGUGAAAUCCCCAAGGCUUAACCUUGGAACUGCGUCGGAUACUGGAUGGCUUGAAUUCGGGAGAGGGAUGCAGAAUUCCAAGUGUAGCGGUGAAAUGCGUAGAUAUCUGGAGGAAUACCGGUGGCGAAGGCGGCAUCCUGGACCGACAUUGACGCUGAGGAGCGAAAGCUAGGGGAGCAAACGGG